AUGAGGAGCUGACUUCCCUCUCAGGACCAACCCGGGAGAGCCCCAGUCCUGGGAGUGUUGGGUCACUCCACAGGGAGUGGCAGAGCCCCCUUCUCAGAGCAGAUUGAGAGAGACACCCAGGUUGUGGACUCUCAUGGGUCAUGCCUCCAGGGGCUCACGGAGCUCCCUUCUCAGAGCAGCCUCAGCGUGUGGAUUCUUGGCUUAGGGACUUUCAUCAUGAACAUUUGAAAUAAAAUCAGAAUUUGUUAAAGGGCAGAUGACAGCCAGCCUUGAGCCCUGAUGAUCCCAGGAUCCCAUCCAGUGGGAGAACUCUACAUAUCAGUCCAAGCUUUUGAUCCCAUCUAGGAGCCAACAUGACAUCCAGUCAUCAUGUCUCCAUAGACUUCUCUUGGGGUGACAGUUUCUAUGAACUUCCUUGUUCUGAUGACCUUGAGAGCAUUGAGGACGACUUGUCAGGCUCCACUGUGGAUUCAGGAUGACUGAGGUCCAUGUGAGGAAAACAUGAGGAAGAAGCUUCCUGUGCACUGCCUGGUGGGCUGAGAAAUCAUGAACAUUUGAAAUAAAAUCAGAAUUUGUUAAAGGGCAGAUGACAGUCAGCCUUGAGCCCUGAUGAUCCCAGGAUCCUAUCCAGUGGGGGAACUCUAAGUACCAGUCCAAGGUUUUGUAUGCUAAUUGUUUCAUUUUCUUAUUUCAGAGUUAUUUUGUAAUGUAAUUCCCCAUGGCCUCCAGGUCUCCAGUUCUGUGCAGUAGGUGUUUCUAAUUCAAUUUUUGAUUAAUAUUCUUUCAGUUUUCUAUAGAAAUUUUAAAAUAUUUUUUUUAGUUGUCAGUGGAUCUUUUUAUUUUAUUUAUUUAUUUUGUUUAUUUAUAUGUGGUGCUGAGGAUUGAACCCAGGGCCUGACACAUGCCAGGCAAAUGCUCUGCCUUUGCACCACAUUCUAGCCCUUUAUAGAAUUUUUAAUUCUGUGGACUUCUAUUUUUUUAUAAGGAAUAUUUUAAAAAUUACUUUUACCUUACUUUGUUUUUGAUUGAGAGAAUUUUGAUUCUGAGAGUCUCAAGUGUUUUAGGUCCAACAUGUUUCCUUAAGAGGAAUAAUUAUUCAUUUUCUAUUUGAUUACACAAAUUCUUUUUUUUUUCCUUUUGUGGUUCUGGGGCUUCCUGCAUGCUAGGAAAUCUUUCUACCACUGAUCUACAUCCCCAGCCCCAUAGAUCCUUUAGUUAUCAUUAGCUUCAUGAUGAGCUAGUGACAAUAAGAUUACUUAGAAUUUCAACUAGAUUUAUACUCAUGCAAGAGUUUGGGCAUCCAUAGCUCCCUGUGAUUUCUAAAAGGUAGAGUUUCCCACAACACAGCAGCAUCUAAUAUCACUCCGGGACUGAUCUGACACCUCUGCUUCUCUUGUCUCACCACUUCCUGUAGAGGUCUUGGAGGAAAUGGAUGUUCUUUGACUAUUUGUCCCAGUGACAAAUAUUUGAUUAUAUUGCUGCUAAAAUGUAUGCAUAGAAAUAAAAUAGAGACAUUUUUUAUAAAGUCACUCUUUCAGGAAAGUUAAAUCAUGAGUUGAAAUAAAAUCUCCAAAAUGUCAUUUUUUCCUCUGUAGUGAUCACGUUUUAAGAAGGAAAACCUAGAACCUAGUGACAGCAUAAAAAUAUAAUAAGUUAACAUAUGUUAUUACUUCAACAUGAAAUAUGUAAAAGGGGCAUAUACUUUGAAGUUUUAAAAAAAAUUUUUUUAGUUGUAGUUGGACACAAUGCCUUCAUUUUCAUUUAUUUAUUUUUAUGUGGUGCUGAGGCUCAAACCUAGCACCUCACACAUGCUAGGUGAGUUCUCUAUCACUGAGCUACAACCCCAGCCCACAUACUUUGAAUUUUAUAUAAUAUCUGAAUUUUGGUCCUUACUACUAAUAUCCACAGUAUAGCAUCUAAAAGUAAUAAAAUAUGUGCCCUGUGGCCUAUAAAUGUCAUAUGAUAGCCAUACUAUAGCAUCUAAAACUAAUAUAAUGGCUGCCCUGUAGCCUUUGACUUUAGUAUAAUAUCAAUACUUUGUCCUCUGAAACUAACAGAAAAGCUGUCCUGUAGCCUUUUAAUACUAAUUUUAUCCAUAUGUAGCAUCAUUAUAGUCUCCAUGUAGCCUUUUAUUCUAAUAUUAUAUUCAUACUGUAGACUCUAAAAUAAAUAAAAUAGCUUCCUUUUUGCCUUCAAGGGUAAUAUGAUAUGCUCUAUGGUACCUAGAAAAUAUUAUAAUAGCUUCCCUGUGGUCUUUAAUACUAAUAAUAUCCAUGCUAUAGUACCUAAUACUAAUAGGUGCCUGUUGUGUUUAAUAUUAAAGAUGUCCAUACUAUACCUUCCAAAAACUAAUAUAAUAGCUGCUCUGUGACCUGUAAUAUUAACAUAAUAUCCAUACUGUAGCAUCUAAAACUGGCAUAAUAGCUGCC